GCGGCGUGCCUAAUACAUGCAGUCGAGCGAACGGACGAGAAGCUUGCUUCUCUGAUGUUAGCGGCGGACGGGUGAGUAACACGUGGAUAACCUACCUAUAAGACUGGGAUAACUUCGGGAAACCGGAGCUAAUACCGGAUAAUAUUUUGAACCGCAUGGUUCAAAAGUGAAAGACGGUCUUGCUGUCACUUAUAGAUGGAUCCGCGCUGCAUUAGCUAGUUGGUAAGGUAACGGCUUACCAAGGCAACGAUGCAUAGCCGACCUGAGAGGGUGAUCGGCCACACUGGAACUGAGACACGGUCCAGACUCCUACGGGAGGCAGCAGUAGGGAAUCUUCCGCAAUGGGCGAAAGCCUGACGGAGCAACGCCGCGUGAGUGAUGAAGGUCUUCGGAUCGUAAAACUCUGUUAUUAGGGAAGAACAUAUGUGUAAGUAACUGUGCACAUCUUGACGGUACCUAAUCAGAAAGCCACGGCUAACUACGUGCCAGCAGCCGCGGUAAUACGUAGGUGGCAAGCGUUAUCCGGAAUUAUUGGGCGUAAAGCGCGCGUAGGCGGUUUUUUAAGUCUGAUGUGAAAGCCCACGGCUCAACCGUGGAGGGUCAUUGGAAACUGGAAAACUUGAGUGCAGAAGAGGAAAGUGGAAUUCCAUGUGUAGCGGUGAAAUGCGCAGAGAUAUGGAGGAACACCAGUGGCGAAGGCGACUUUCUGGUCUGUAACUGACGCUGAUGUGCGAAAGCGUGGGGAUCAAACAGGAUUAGAUACCCUGGUAGUCCACGCCGUAAACGAUGAGUGCUAAGUGUUAGGGGGUUUCCGCCCCUUAGUGCUGCAGCUAACGCAUUAAGCACUCCGCCUGGGGAGUACGACCGCAAGGUUGAAACUCAAAGGAAUUGACGGGGACCCGCACAAGCGGUGGAGCAUGUGGUUUAAUUCGAAGCAACGCGAAGAACCUUACCAAAUCUUGACAUCCUUUGACAACUCUAGAGAUAGAGCUUUCCCCUUCGGGGGACAAAGUGACAGGUGGUGCAUGGUUGUCGUCAGCUCGUGUCGUGAGAUGUUGGGUUAAGUCCCGCAACGAGCGCAACCCUUAAGCUUAGUUGCCAUCAUUAAGUUGGGCACUCUAAGUUGACUGCCGGUGACAAACCGGAGGAAGGUGGGGAUGACGUCAAAUCAUCAUGCCCCUUAUGAUUUGGGCUACACACGUGCUACAAUGGACAAUACAAAGGGCAGCGAAACCGCGAGGUCAAGCAAAUCCCAUAAAGUUGUUCUCAGUUCGGAUUGUAGUCUGCAACUCGACUACAUGAAGCUGGAAUCGCUAGUAAUCGUAGAUCAGCAUGCUACGGUGAAUACGUUCCCGGGUCUUGUACACACCGCCCGUCACACCACGAGAGUUUGUAACACCCGAAGCCGGUGGAGUAACCUUUUAGGAGCUAGCCGUCGAAGGUGG
rnacentral:rRNA from 1 species